AAUACUGGAUCUGGAGCGUGUUGCCAUUUCCUACUCCAGGGAAUCUUCCUGACCCAGGGAUUGAACGUGCAUCUCUUGCAUCAUCAGGCGGAUUCUUUACCACUGAGCCACCUGGGAAGCCCAUGAAGUGUACAUGCAUUCAAAUUUAGUAGAUACUGCCAAAUGGCUUUUCAAGGUCUUCAAAACUUAACUUCCCACCAAGCAGUGCAUAAACAUGUUCACUGUGCCACAACCUCACCAAUAGUUGGCAUUCAAAAAUCUCUUUAAUUUAGCCUCUCUGGUGAGUGCAUGGUAGUAUUCCACUUAUUUUAAUUUGAUUUCUCCUGAUUACUAAUAACACGGAUUAUUUUAUUUCUAUUUUGGAUAGUUAGAUAUCCUUUUAUUUGUGAAACGCCUGUUCAGCCUUCUUAUAUAUAUUUAUGUUGUGUUAAAUAUAAAAAUUGUUUUCAGAAAUAAUGUUUAUAUAUUUGUACCUUUGUCAGUGUUACAAAUCGUUGAAGGCGGUCAUCACGUGGACUUGAGUGCAGGUUGACCCAGGAGCUGAGUCCGGGCUCCUCACUCCCUCCUUCCUGGAAUGUCCAUUUGACCUACCCUUCCUACCACCAGAGCUAUCUCAGCCACGAGUACAUAAGGUACUGUGAGACCACCUGGAUUGAAUGCAUGACUGAACCCAGGGUCAACGCUUUAUAGAAACUCUCAGAUUCAGUUUUAAAGUAGAUUCUCCAAAGUAGAUGUGUGGUUGCAUCUGGAUGGAUCCAUCAAGUCUGCUUAAGAAGGAAAUGGCAAGCCUGCCUUGAAAUGGAACACCCCAGGAAUACAACGAAAGUCUCUUUUUGAGACUAGGACUGGAUAAGAGGAGGACAUUAGAAGAGAGGUCCUCUUGGCAUUCCAGCAGAGAUGCUGCCUUUGACAGGCGUGAUAUCUGCCUUUUACUGAGAACUGAUCUGUCAGACCAUGCUAUGGCUUCUCUGUCCAUGGGAUUCUCCAGACAAGAAUACUGGAGUGGGUUGCUGUGGCCUCCUCCAGGGGAUCUUCCCGACCCAGGUAUUGAACCCACAUCUCUUGAGUCUCCUGCAUUGGCAGGCAGGUUCCUUACCACUAGUGCCACCUGGGAAGCCCUCGAUUAUACAAAUACAUGUGACUCAGACAAUGUUCAAUUAUGACCGGGAAACCAUGUUUGAUAUUCCUGUUUCCUUACAGAACAGCAGAAGAGGUAACUCUUAGUGACUAAAGCUGAAAACUUUUGAUGUUGUGGGAAAGAAAAUUAUUGCUGAUAUUCUGUGGCCAAAGCCAGGUUCUCUUCCCAAGCAGCUGAGUACUCUUGAAAAAUAUCUAAUUUCUCUGAAUUUCAGUUUGUUUGUUUGUAUAAUGGGAAUUAUAAUACCUCCCCUGCAAAUUUUCUUUGAAGAUUAAAUGUUAAAAUACAUGUUAAGCAUCUAGUAUUAUGCCUGCCACAUAGCAGGUGCUCAAUAAUUAUUAAUUUGUUUCCCUUCUAGUUACUCUAUAUCCUAAAGAUAGAGAAAAUAGAGUCUUUCAGACUGAGACGUGUUGAGAUCAAUUUAAAAAAAAUGAGAGAAAGAUGGUUUUGUAUUUCUGAAAGGCUAGUAAAUUAUUGAGUUCAUGAAUAAUAUAAUUUAUAUUGUACCUGUAUUUCACAAAACCUCUCAGAUGCAACAUCUUACUUGAGCCUCACAAUAAAUUGAAAGGUAGGUGUUAUUACCCUCAUAUAAAGGAUGAAAAAGUGAGGCAGAAUGAUAAAGACAUUUGUCCAUAGACAAGACUUGAUUUCAGAUCACUUUACCUUUUCCUUCCUAUCUUCCUCCUCUCCUACCAGCUCCUAUGUACGCUUCUGAGAUACGAAUUGAUAAAUUCAUUUCCAAAGUUACGGUUUUUCAGAAGUUUGAUUAUAUUAGGACUUUGUAAGCCUGGAGUCUUGGAAGCAAACUAGUUCAGAGAUCACAACUCUAUGUCCUGUUUCCGUGUAGACUUCAGUUCAUCACUUAUCACUUUUUUCCUUACUGCGGUAACAUUAAUCCCACAGAACCCACAUAAAGGUUAAAUAAGAUGUGUAUAAAGUGCCUGGCAUACAACUGGUGUCCAAUAGUUUUUUCUUUAUCUUUAAAGGGAAAUCUAUAUAGUUGUUUAAUUUAUAAGAUAAAAUGUCAAAUUUUAAUGAAAAUAAUCUGACUUGGCUUAGUAUACCAUUCUAUAUCUCUCUCUCUCUAUCAUCUAUCUGUCCCUUAUUAACAAUUGGUACACAUCACAGAAAAUGUCAGCUGCUGAACAGAAUUUCAAAAGGUACUUUAAGUCUCUUUUUUGAUGUGGUACUUUAUUAACCAUGUGGAAGAGUGGAUGAAAAUGUGCCAUUGCUUAACGUUAGUUUCUUUUGUGGGAAGUUUUUAAAAAAAAAACAAAAACACAAAAUUCAUAAUUGUAUUUGAAAGGGAAAAAUGUACACAUUUUUCUUUGCUUACCUUAAGCUCCUCAGUUUCUAUGAAGCCACUGUGAUCAGUAUCAUAUUUUCUCCAUGUCUGUAAGUAAUUUUGGAUAAGGAAGACCAAACACGUUAGAAAAGGUCACAAUUCCCCCACUUUCAGAUAUCUGAAGAUAUCACUCGGUGACAGAGGUUUCCUAUACCUUCAUGAAUUCCUCACAGGACUUUAGCUGCUGGCAUCGGAAAAGCAGCAGGAAGUUCUCUUCUGUGGGUAACACAUGAGCCAACUGGAAAAGAUCGAAGAAGCUGGUGUGAGGAGCUUGAAAGCAAGUCUCUCUCGUUUCCUGCUCUUAGUUGUGCUUGACCAUGAUUUUAUUACCCAGAAAACUAGGAGAGGAGAAACAUGGCAAUCGAUUUUCCCUUUCGAAUACUUUGUCCCUACAAAGUGUCAUCGUGUUUUGCAGGGCUUGCUGCCCUUUGAGAGACCGGUUCUCAGGUCAGGGAGGAGGCUGCAGCAAGCAUGCCUAGGGAGUGCAGGGAAGGGUGACUGACACUUCUCGUCUGCUAGACACACAAGCAGACUCAUGCCGGUGGCUCGACCCCUGCAUCUUUCCUGUGCCCCAGAUCAGGUCUUUUCCUGUGAGGGCCCAGAAGAUGGCACACGUGGGGCCAUAUAUUUCAUAAAAGAAGAAGCUGAGAUAUGAAUGUAGCAGAGAGGACAGAAGGCAAAAAAUGAAUUCUGAAAGUCGAAGGAGAAAGCUUAUUAAGAGAUUCAAUGGAAUACAAACUAAGGACAAUUGUAAAACAAGUGAAAGAGAGAUGGAAAAAGACACUUUACAGGGAACGGCGGAAACUGAAUGGUAAUAGGGAAUAUCAGUUCUCAAAUGUUUGGUGUCUGCUAAAAGGACAUCUGUUGCUUGAGUCCAGGGCUUAAAUUUUACUUGAUGAUCUCCCUUGAGUGACCCGACGACAUUUCUCCUAAGAUCUCAUUUUGUAACUUCAAUGCUCCUUUUUUUUUUUUUUUUUGGUGGAAAGAAGGACUCCAGAUCCCAUUUUAAGAUGAAUACAAUCUAUCUAUUGUGCUCAGGGAGAGUGGGAGCUGGACUGAUGGCCUAAUGAAGGUGUGUGCUCUAUUCCUGGGCAGCUGCUAAUUAGCUGUGGUCCCCAGCAACUCCCUCAGCCAUUUCUGGAACUUAGCAUGCUCAUCACUUAAAAUGAGGAGUUGAAAUAGAAACCAAUGUCUCUUAAAUGUAUUGGGUUCAAAAUGACUUUGAGAAUCUGUUAGAAUCCCUGCGUCCUCACCAUUAAAGAAUGAACCUAAACACUAUAUUUCAUCUAAUUUCCAGAAGUUGAUGAAUCCCCUGAAGUACAGGCAGGGACCCUCAUCUGUGAAUUUUAAACUAAAAAACCCGUGGUCUAGAUUAACCUUUAGGUCAGCAUAAAUGCCAAAAGUCUACCAAAUUAUAGAACAGACUCACACUUAAAAAAAAAUAUUGUCCUUUUAGGUCCAUUUAAAAAUUUUAAAUAUAAAAUGUAUCAUUCUAUCUUAUAUGCAAGUAACCUCAGCUUCUUUAUGCUGUAUAUGUCCUUUAACUUAUCUUAUUUUUAGAUCUUUGAAAUAAUAUUUCAAAUUAGAAUCAUUCAGGCACUAAUAAUGGGAUGAAAUGAAAGGGCAGAGCCAGAUAUCUUAUUAGAAUGUUUGGUAUGACUAUCAGAAAACAUUUUCUUAUUUCCAAAGGUCAAUAGUAUGGUUAUGCAUUAAUGCAAGCAUUAAUUUAGGAAACAGGAAAUAGCCAAUGCCAACUCUUUC